CAUAAAUCAGUUCCUCUUCUGCCCAGCCGAGUGGAGUUGGACAGUGGCCUGGGUGGAUCUCUGCCCACCACUGCAGAAGUGGUCUGCCUGAAGGUUUUGGGGUUCUGCCACCAUCUCAAUAUUGAGACUUGGACCUCCCUGGAUGCCUUCCCUAGGCCUCUCCAAUACUGCUGCACCAGCGGACGCCUGAAGCCAGUGUGUCCAGCCAGAUGAGAUGCAUCUGGAAAUGACUCUCCACAGGUGCCCCCUCCUGCGCCAUCCUUUCUAAUCAGUAAUUUAAAGAAGCCUCACUCCUAAUACUGACUUUAUCCUUCCUGGCCCCUGGGACAAGUGUCAUCAUUCAAAAGACUAUCUAGAGGCAACAUUAGAAGAAGUACUCUUCGCAGCUAUUUAAGAAGUCUUCCUUCAUGAGAUAUUUUGAUAUUUUUACAGUGCUUUACAGUUGACAAAGUGAUUUCUCAUCCAUCUUUUCUUUUCAUGUCUUAAAAAUCCUUGUGUUUGAUCUCUCUUUCCUGACUGUGAGAUGUGGAAAAUGAGGCCUAGAGAAGAUAAGUGAUUUACCUAAGAGGUACAACCAGCAGGUAACCCUGGUUUGCUCACCAAACCAUACAGAGGAAUGGAAGUUCCUUGGAGACCUCAACCAUGCAUGUUUCAUACAGCACUGUGUUCCUAGUACCUACCCCAGGCCUGGUGUGGAGUAGGAAAUCGAUCAAUCCAUGCUGACUUAAGACUCAGGCAUAAUGAGUGUGAUGGCUAUGCCUGCCAGAUGGAGGUUAGAACUGCUUGCCACCGACACACCUUCUCUCGUGGCUGCUGCCAAUGCAGGAAGAGAUCUGGAAAGAGCGUGAAGGGGACCCUGCCAGAAGCCGGGAGAUGCAACUUGCAGGGACCAAUUUCCUCACUAUAUGAUACAGAACUGAGCAAAGGAAGGGUGACGACCAAUGGAUCUGAGGUAAAUGGGUCCAGUGCCAGCAGAGCUCCGUACUGGAAGUGGGGAAGGAGAAUCCAGGGUCUGGUCCACUCAGACCCUAGUAAAAUCUCUGAUUUUAGAAUUGCUACAGGAAGGGAUUGGAACUUUGGUAGAAUGACAUAAUGAUCCUUUCAGGAAUCCAGUUAAAGACUGGGUGCUCUUUUCAACAUGAUCACCCAAUGGAAGAGCCAACUGUGAGUAGG
ensembl:lncRNA